GGUUGAUUCUGCCUGACGUGGACGCUUGUUUUAAGGAUUUAGCCAUGCAUGUCUAGCGAAGCGCAAGCGGAGCGGCGAACGGCUCAGUAAUACAGUUAUGAUCUACUCACACAACAAAUGGAUAACCACGGUAACCUGUGGCUAAUACAACGAAGAUAUGUCGGCAGUGAGUUGCGAUAUUGACGGUGAUUGAGUUUCUGGCCUAUCAGCUAGUGAAGGUAGGGUAAGGGCCUACCUUGGCGAUAACGGGUAACGGGGGAUCAGGGUUUGAUUCCGGAGAAGGAGCCUGAGAGAUGGCUGCUACGUCCAAGGAUGGCAGCAGGCGCGAAAAUUACCCAAUCUCCGAUUUGGAGGAGGUAGUGACGAAACGUAUGCGAGAGAGGGCAGAGCAAAUAUCUGCCCAAGAGCAACUGGAGGGCAAGUCUGGUGCCAGCAGCCGCGGUAAUUCCAGCUCCAGUAGCGUCCAUGUGUGUUGCUGCAGUUAAAACGUUCGUAGUCGUGUGAGGCGCUUAUGAACUUCAUAAGAGCCACUGUCCUGUGGGUAAAUGUGCCGUAUCAAAUGUCACACUGCCACAGCAGCAAGCACAGCAGGAGCAGUUGAGGGCGAUGGUAUUCCUGUGCGAGAGGUGAAAUUCGAUGACCACUGGAGGACCGACAGAAGCGAAAGCGUUCGUCAUGGAUGUUUCCGAUGAUCAAGGACGUAAGCCGGAGUAUCGAAGGCGAUUAGAAACCGUCGUAGUUCCGGCCGUAAACGAUGCCGACCCACAGGGAUGCACGUCUUUGUGUGGAGAAAUUAGAGUUUAUGGGCUCUGGGGAUAGUACAGGCGCAAGCCCGAAACUUUAAGAAAUUGACGGAAGGACACCACAAGGAGUGGAGUAUGCGGGUUAAUUUGACUCAACGCGGGACAACUUACCAGGGCCUGAUGGAGGAGCGAAGCAAGCGUUAUCGCGGUUGCUGAUUCUUCAGCGAGUGGUGCAUGGCCGUUCCAACACGUGGGGUGACCUGUCUGGCUAAUUCCGAUAACGCGUGAGACCCUCGUGCCGUGAAAAUGGCAGACGAUCACCGACGAGGUGAAGGAAGCAGGGGGCGAUAACAGGUCCGUGAUGCCCUUAGAUGUUCUGGGCUUCACGCGUACUACAUUGCGCAGGGUUUGAUUACGUGAAACCUGCGCGAGGUCGGGAUAGACAGUUGUAAAUCUGUCUUGAACGAGGAAUUCCUAGUAACAGCGAGUCACUAACUUGUUGUGAAUGCGUCCCUGUCCUUUGUACACACCGCCCGUCGUUAUCUAAGAUGGAUGUGGGGAUGAAGAGAACACAGUUUUUUGAAUCUCUGCAACUAGAUUGGAUACAAGUCGUAACAGGGUAACCAC
rnacentral:rRNA from 1 species